CUGUGUCACCCCAUCUCUUGGCCCCUCCCCUGCUCAUACUCUCUCUCCCUCAUACACAAAAAUAAAUAGUUAAAAAUAUAUUUUUUAUGAAAUAUAGGAAUUCCUGAACACCUACUUUGCCCCCGAGCUUCUUAGCAGCCAAACCAGAAGGUGGAAACUUAUCAUUUGCUCCUUCUCACUGAGGUGUGAGAGAAAUUUCUCCAGUGGCUCCUCUUACAGGGAUUGAAGAAUGGGCAAGUUGCACAGCCCUUCAUUAAUGGUUUUCCUCUCGUGGUUGACAUUUGGGUCGGCCAGCGGAAAGUUGAGAAUCACUGUCUUUGCUUAGAAUUUGGCUUUUCUUCAUUGCCAGUCAAGGGCACGGGACAUGAGGUUUGCAGCCAGUCGAGCAAGGGUUUGGAUGGACUCCUUAUAAAAAUUAAAGAUUUCCACUUCACAGAAUAAUGAAAUAGCUUGCAUAGGACCCCACGUGGGUAAAAAUUACAAAUUCUAGGCAACAAAUUUAGGGGAAAAAACCCCAACCAUUGAAGGCACCAGAAAAUCACGGAGGCAGGCAGAAACAAAAUAAUUUGAUCAUUGAAAGGCAGAGGUCACCAUGGGUUGGCUCUGUGUUCAAGAGUUUCAUUCCCCUGGGGACACCGCCCAGUCUGUGCAGCUCGGGCCCAAGAAGACUAUCCUCUCUUUGGCUUGGGGCAUCGGGGGAAUAUCAAGGUAUCAGAGCUCAGGACUCCCACAAUGGAAGAAAAUCGAUGGGUGAAAUCUGGGAAGGAGGGAGCCAGAGGGGGGGGACGCCUCAAAAUCUGUGAAGAAACCUCCACAUCUUUCUCUAAUCUAAUGUAGUAGAUAGAGGUCAAUACAGCUCGUUUAUCCAAAAGCAGCUUUAAGUAACCAGGAUGCAGACUUUCCAAAGAGGAAGGGAAGGGAGGGAUCAGAACAUGUCACACUCUCCACCCCCGACCCCCAGCUGUUGAGAUGUCUGUCGUCCUCAUCCUCGUGCUAACUGCGGGGACUUUGGUGACUCCUCAGAAGAGGCCUCCCCUGGGCAUCCUAAUUCUUGUCUGAUCGUGAUGGUUUUAAACGGUCCAAUUACUUCAUAGUAACAUUUAGGAUUCCAGCACUGUGGUCCCAAGGGCUUUUUUGGCAGGGUCUUGACUUCUGAAAUUAACUCAGCCCGGAGAAGCCAUACCUCUGAGAUAGUGUAAUGUAAGGACUGUAAUCUAGAAAUUUUCCAUCCGAAAGCAUAACAAAUAUCUGACUGGUUUGCAUUUUAGGUUUUGGAGAAUCAAAAGAGUCUUUGUGGCAUUUUUAAUAUCCCUCAAGUUCUGAACUCAAAGAACUUGUGUUUUUAUGGCACAUUUUCUUCAGGAUCACGUAUUUAUACUCGGGGAAAAGAAUUUCUGUUCUUUAUUAUAUAAUGCUUUGGAACACUCUCACAUUAAAUAACUGAAUCAAAUUGAAA